GAUCAGUGGCUCGAGGACGAACGCUGGCGGCGUGCCUAACACAUGCAAGUCGAACGGGGACUCAGCCUUCGGGACUGAGUUUAGUGGCGAACGGGUGAGUAACGCGUGAGGAACCUGCCUUUCAGUGGGGGACAACAGUUGGAAACGACUGCUAAUACCGCAUAAUGCUUUUUGAUGGCAUCAUUGAAAAGCCAAAGAUUUAUUGCUGAAAGAUGGCCUCGCGUCUGAUUAGCUAGUUGGUGGGGUAACGGCCCACCAAGGCGACGAUCAGUAGCCGGUCUGAGAGGAUGAACGGCCACAUUGGGACUGAGAUACGGCCCAGACUCCUACGGGAGGCAGCAGUGGGGAAUAUUGGGCAAUGGGGGAAACCCUGACCCAGCAACGCCGCGUGAAGGAAGAAGGCCUUCGGGUUGUAAACUUCUUUACCAGGGACGAAAAAAGUGACGGUACCUGGAGAAAAAGCAACGGCUAACUACGUG
rnacentral:rRNA from 1 species